rnacentral:lncRNA from 1 species
UUUGGCACUUAAUGUUCAUUUUUAAAAAUACUAUUAAAGAAAGCCCUCACUCAGCCCUUAUGUUGCCCCCUUCUUGUCUUCUUUGCUCUUUGCCCACUGUUCUUCUGGGCCCUUUUGCAUUGGCAGUGUUCUGUCCAUGUGUCCAUUGCAGGUCGGGGAACCUUGCAGAUGCAUGACUCUUGCCUGAGAGAGGUAUCUUUAAUGGGGUCUGGCCUGAGUAUUUGCACAAACGAUCGGAGAAAGUUUGGAAUUUAGGAGACUAGAGAGGGAGAUCCUGAACAUUCCUUCCAACUCAAUCACCCUUUCUUUAGCUCUCACAUGGCUCCAACAGGAGGUCAAAACGUACUUUACGAAUUAAAGCAACUUAGGUCUCUAUGGAAUUUGUGGAUUUCAAAAGCAUUUACUGAAUUCAGCUUCAGGUUUCUCCCCAACACUCAGGGUUGAGCUGCUGUAUCAGCCUUGGGGGAUUUUCAUUUCAUAUUAGACCAGGCAGUUUUCAGGAGGACAGGGCCCAGGGCGGGGGAAGAGGGACUCAGGUCGUAGCUCCAAAGUGGGAAAAAAAAACUUUGAUGUGCACUUGACAAAUGCAUGAAGAUUGGACCUCAACUACCUGAAAAGGAAAGUUGCCAUGGUGUUUUUGUGUAACACUGCUACUGAGAACAACAAUUCUGUGGUGCCCAUUUUGUCCUCUUUCCCUGUUUUUUCACCAUUAGGCAAAGAACAUCUGAAGAAUUAUGGGGAAACAGAAUUGGAUGUCCAGAAUGUCCCUUCAGAGCUGGGUUUCUGGGAGGAGCAGAGGAGCUGUCAUAUAGUGGCAGAGACUCUGGGUCCCCCUCCCUCCUGCACCACAGCAACUCUGGGGGAGGCUCAGAGGCUCUCCUCCCACCCCACAGGGGGCAGGCAAUAGCAUUAAUCAGCCACUGCCUAAUUACCAGCUAACUAAUUUUUGAAGAGGGGAGCUCCCAGGUCCCUGCUGUGUCUUAAUAAUUAAUCCAUAAACUGGUUAAUCUGGCAGCCCCUUCCCUUCAUCUCCCGACGGAAAUCCACAGUGGGUCCGUCCCUGAGUCACUACAAGAGAGAAACACAAGAAUUGUCUUCAGUCUUCCCUCUCUCAACAUCCAUCCCCAUCACCUACCAAAUGCUGUCAAAUCUGCCUUCUCUCACAUCUCCACCCCUUUGCAUUCUCCAUUUCUCCUCUGGCACAAGACCUCCCAUCUCUUGUCUCCACCACUGAUAACAAGUCUCCCUACUUAUCCCCCACUUCUCCCCACUCCACCUCAUCCUUCCCUCCAUUCCUGAAAAGAUCUACAUGACACAGGCUAAGACAUGUCACUUCUCUGCUUAAAAAAAGCUUACCUAAACCCCCUACAAAAUUAAGUCCACGAUUUUGUGCGUGGCACUCAAGAGUCUUCCAUGAUCUGAAUGAACCAAUGGCAUUGCCUUAGAGGACAUGCACUUAUUCUUAAGUGAACCACACACCAACACUGGCCAACAUGAAGGGCUCAGCCUUGGUUGGCACACAGCGAGAGCACACCCUUCUGUAACUCCACACACCACAGUGAAAUGGUGACACAAGGUAAUGUAAUGACUUGACACCCAAGAAAGUAGCCUGUGAGAAAGAUCUUGUUCAUUGCCCCAAACGAUCACCAUCACAUUGGAUGCUUUGGACACGGUCAGUUGCUCUCUCCCUCUUCAACCCAGCUUCUGUUUUUCUUCUUACAUGCUCUGGGUCUUUCCUCGGCCUUCCCAACUACUCUUUCUGGGUUUCCUUUGCUAAUUCCUCUUUUCUUUCCUCCCCUUGGAGGACCCAGGAACUCUUGGCCCUCUUUUCAGUCUCUAUACUCAUGCCCUUGGAGGUCUCAUCUGGUGCUAUAGCUUUUUUUUUUCCUCUUUAAAGACUUAUUUAUUUGACAGAGAGCAAGCAUGCACAAGCAGGAGGGGUAGAGGGAAAGAUAACUUUAAGUAGACUCCACGUUGAGCACAGAGCCCAACUUGGGGCUCAAUCCCACAAUCCCAAAAUCAGGACCUAAGCUGAGACCAAGAGUCUGAUGCUCAACCAACUGUGCCUUCCAGGCACCCCUGGUGCUGUAGCUUUUUAAAAGACCUUCUAGACUCUGGUAACUGAAAUCUAAAGCUCUGACCUCUCCCCAAGGCCCAAAAUUGAAUAUCCAAUUACCUACUUGAUAUCUUCUCUAAGAGGCAGUCCAAGAUCACUACUUGAACAGCUCAUCACCACCCUUUCAAUCUGUUUCUUCCUCUGAUUUUAUCUCUUUGUUCUUUUUAUAUACCUCAUUAUAUAGCCACAUUACCCAUUUAACUGUUCAGACCAAGAAUUUGGAUGACUCCUUAAGCAGAUCAGCUCUGACCACCCUCACUAAAAGUGUAACUAUCCUUCUCUCAAAUGUCCCUCCUCUGCUCAAUUUUUCCUUUUUGCCAUAAAAUAUAUCAUCUUCUAAAUAUGCAAUACAAUUUAUUGUUUUUUGUUUUUUUUGGUUUUUUUUUUUUUUACUUUGUUUUCUGUUUCUGGCC